CGGGAGCUUGCUCCCUUAGGUCAGCGGCGGACGGGUGAGUAACACGUGGGUAACCUGCCUGUAAGACUGGGAUAACUCCGGGAAACCGGGGCUAAUACCGGAUGCUUGAUUGAACCGCAUGGUUCCAAUCAUAAAAGGUGGCUUUUAGCUACCACUUACAGAUGGACCCGCGGCGCAUUAGCUAGUUGGUGAGGUAACGGCUCACCAAGGCGACGAUGCGUAGCCGACCUGAGAGGGUGAUCGGCCACACUGGGACUGAGACACGGCCCAGACUCCUACGGGAGGCAGCAGUAGGGAAUCUUCCGCAAUGGACGAAAGUCUGACGGAGCAACGCCGCGUGAGUGAUGAAGGUUUUCGGAUCGUAAAACUCUGUUGUUAGGGAAGAACAAGUACCGUUCGAAUAGGGCGGCACCUUGACGGUACCUAACCAGAAAGCCACGGCUAACUACGUGCCAGCAGCCGCGGUAAUACGUAGGUGGCAAGCGUAGUCCGGAAUUAUUGGGCGUAAAGCGCGCG
rnacentral:rRNA from 1 species